GACGAACGCUGGCGGCGUGCUUAACACAUGCAAGUCGAACGGAAAGGCCCUGCUUUUGUGGGGUGCUCGAGUGGCGAACGGGUGAGGAACACGUGAGUAACCUGCCCUUGACUUUGGGAUAACUUCAGGAAACUGGGGCUAAUACCGGAUAGGAGCUCCUGCUGCAUGGUGGGGGGGGGAAAUUUUCGGCGGUUGGGGAUGGAUGCGCGGCUUAUCAGCUUGUUGGUGGGGUAGUGGCUUACCAAGGCUUUGACGGGUAGCCGGCCUGAGAGGGUGACCGGCGACCUUGGGACUGAGAGACGGCCCAGACUCCUACGGGAGGCAGCAGUGGGGAAUAUUGCACAAUGGGAGGAAGCCUGAUGCAGCAACGCCGCGUGCGGGAUGCCGGCCUUCGGGUUGUAAACCGCUUUAGCCUGUGACGAAGCGUGAGUGACGGUAAUGGGUAAAGAAGCACCGGCUAACUACGUG
rnacentral:rRNA from 1 species